rnacentral:tRNA from 1 species
GGUAAGAUGGCUGAAUUAGGCGGUGGUUUGUAACUCCACUUAUAAAGCAUGUGCUUUUCUUUCCA